GGUAUCUGAACCUCUGCAGAGAUGAGCUUUGAAGGAAAGAGAGAAGAGAAGCAGAACAGGAAGAAAGAAGCAUGCUUUCAUGCUAACUUUUCUGCUCACCCAUGCUCAACAAAGUCAAGAGCAAAAACUCCAUAACUUGACCGGCAUUUGAUGGGAAAACUGAUUGAAACAUGUGAGGUUGCUCCUCAAGAAUAAAUAAAUAAUCCAGAAAAAACCCAUCCACAAUCCAAGCGGCAAAAGGGCUGUUAAGAAUGGGUGAACUCUUGUUAAAAUUUCUGAUAAACGUGAGGACCAUCUGCAGUCAUAUUGGGAGGCAAUUGGCAGGCUUCAAUAUGGACUAAUCUUUGAAGUUCAUGUGCUCAAUCAAGUAACAUUUAGUAUGAGAAACACAUUCAAAUAAGCUAUGAAUGCAAACACCCGUUGGAAGGUACACCAUUACUCAUGAGCAUCAUCUUCAGUACCUGAAACUCAUUGAAGAAUUGAUGCUUCAAGCUUCUAAGGUAGCUGAGACAU